ensembl:misc_RNA Metazoa_SRP Metazoan signal recognition particle RNA
GCCAGGUAUGGUGGCUCAUGCCUGUAAUCCCAGCAUUUUGGGAGGCUGAGGUGGGAGAAUCGCUUGAGCCCAGGAGUUUGAGACAAGCCUGGGAAACAUAGUGAGACCCCAUCUCUA